rnacentral:rRNA from 1 species
UACGGGGGGAGCAAGCGUUGUUCGGAUUUACUGGGCGUAAAGGGCGCGUAGGCGGUCGUGACAAGUCACUUGUGAAAUCUCCGGGCUUAACUCGGAACGGUCAAGUGAUACUGUCGGACUAGAGUACAGAAGGGGCAACUGGAAUUCUCGGUGUAGCGGUGAAAUGCGCAGAUAUCGGGAGGAACACCAAUUGCGAAGGCAGCUCGCUGGGACGUCACUGACGCUAAGACGCGAAAGCGUGGGGAGCAAACAGG